GACAAUGGGCGCAAGCCUGAUCAGCCAUGCCGCGUGAGUGAUGAAGGCCUUAGGNUUGUAAAGCUCUUUCGUCCGGGACGAUAAUGACGGUACCGGAAGAAGAANCCCCGGNUAACUUCGUGCCAGCAGNCGCGGUAAUACGAAGGGGGCUAGCGUUGUUCGGAAUCACUGGGUCGUAAAGGGCGCGUAGGCGGCUUUGUAAGUCGGGGGUGAAAGCCUGUGGCUCAACCACAGAAUUGCCUUCGAUACUGCAUGGCUUGANACCGGAAGAGGUAAGUGGAACUGCGAGUGUAGAGGUGAAAUUCGUAGAUAUUCGCAANAACACCAGUGGCGAAGGCGGCUUACUGGUCCGGUUCUGACGCUGAGGCGCGAAAGCGUGGGGAGCAAACAGGAUUAGAUACCCUGGUANUCCACGCCGUAAACGAUGAAUGCCAGCCGUUGGCGAGCUUGCUCGUCAGUGGCGCAGCUAACGCUUUAAGCAUUCCGCCUGGGAGUACGGUCGCAAGAUU
rnacentral:rRNA from 1 species